rnacentral:rRNA from 1 species
GAUGAACGCUGGCGGCGUGCCUAACACAUGCAAGUCGAACGGAAAGGCCCUAGCUUGCUGGGGUACUCGAGUGGCGAACGGGUGAGUAACACGUGGGUGAUCUGCCCUGCACUUUGGGAUAAGCUUGGGAAACUGGGUCUAAUACCGAAUAUGACCACUUCUUGGCUGUUGUGGUGGAAAGCUUUUGCGGUGUGGGAUGAGCCUGCGGCCUAUCAGCUUGUUGGUGGGGUAAUGGCCUACCAAGGCGGCGACGGGUAUCCGGCCUGAGAGGGGGUACGUACACAUUGGGACUGAGAUACGGCCCAGGCUCCGACGGGAGGCAGCAGUGGGGAAUAUUGCACAAUGGGCGCAAGCCUGAUGCAGCGACGCCGCGUGGGGGAUGAAGGCCUUCGGGUUGUAAACUCCUUUCGCUAUCGACGAAGCCGCUUGUGGUGACGGUAGGUAGAUAAGAAGCACCGGCUAACUACGUGCCAGCCGCCGCAGUAA